UACGAAGGGGGCGAGCGUUGUUCGGAUUUACUGGGCGUAAAGAGCGUGUAGGCGGCCAAGCAGGUCCGUUGUGAAAACUGGAGGCUUAACCUCCAGACGUCGACGGAAACCGCGUGGCUAGAGUCCGGAAGAGGAGAGUGGAAUUCCUGGUGUAGCGGUGAAAUGCGCAGAUAUCAGGAAGAACACCAAUGGCGAAGGCAGCUCUCUGGGACGGUACUGACGCUGAGACGCGAAAGCGUGGGGAGCGAACAGG
rnacentral:rRNA from 1 species